UACGCAGGGGGCUAGCGUUGCUCGGAAUCACUGGGCGUAAAGCGCACGUAGGUGGUCUUUUAAGUCAGGGGUGAAAUCCUGGAGCUCAACUCCAGAACUGCCUUUGAUACUGAGAGACUUGAGUCCGGGAGAGGUGAGUGGAACUGCGAGUGUAGAGGUGAAAUUCGUAGAUAUUCGCAAGAACACCAGUGGCGAAGGCGGCUCACUGGCCCGGUACUGACGCUGAGGUGCGAAAGCGUGGGGAGCAAACAGG
rnacentral:rRNA from 1 species